UCAAUCACAUGUCAAUGUUAAAAAUGAGCAUUAUUUUGAUCAUUGCCAAUAUUAUCAUGUUGUGAAAUGCAAAAAUUAAUUAAAAACCCUAUAAAUACCGACAAUACUUGAAGGUCCUAAAGUGAAAUACAGUACUUUUAUUUAGUAUUAUUGUGUCCUCAUUAAUGAUUAUGUAGAUAUUACUCUAAUAUCGUAGUAAGCACACACUAGGUUGAAUAAACAAUCGUUCAAAAUGUCAGACGCCGAAGUGGAAGUACUCAGUACUUUUAAAAAACGUAAUAUUAAGAAUAGGGGUGGCAGAAAACGUAAAACUUCCAGUUCAGAAGAGAAAAACAGCUCGGACUCUGAUGAGCAACAAGUAGUUCUACCAACGAAAAGGGUGAACAAACCAAAUCCAAACAUACAGUCUACAGGAGGUCCGAAGAAAUCCAAAAUUGAUGUAAUUGAAGAUAAUGAUGAUAGUAAUGAUGAAGAAAAGACUUCUCAAAGGACAACACUAUCGGUUCAACAACAGAGAGAGAAUGCAACAGCUACCUAUGAAUUAGACACAGAAAAGGAUAGAGAUGCCCAAGCCAUCUUUGAGAAGGCUCAGAAGAUCAAUGAAGAGUUGCACGGACAAGCAGAUGAUAAGAUAUAUCGUGGGAUAAACAACUAUGCCCAAUAUUAUAAAAAGAAAGACACUGCAGCUGGUAAUGCCAGCUCUGGUCUAGUCAGGAAAGGGCCCAUCAGAGCUCCAGCAAACUUGAGGGCCACAGUCAGAUGGGAUUAUCAGCCUGAUAUAUGCAAAGAUUAUAAGGAGACUGGCUUUUGUGGAUUUGGUGAUUCAUGUAAAUUCCUUCACGACCGCUCUGACUACAAACAUGGCUGGCAACUGGAACGCGAGGAGCUGGAGACACCGGGACAAGAUGGAGAUUCAGAUUACGAGAUCCACAGCGACGAGGAACUACCGUUCAAAUGUUUUGUAUGCAGAGAGGGAUUCACAAAUCCUGUUGUUACCAAGUAAGUGUAAGUUGGAACUGUAGAGGUGAUGAGGUAAAAUAGAGUUGUAGAGGACUAGGUCUAUAGUGGUGCAGUAUAGGACUAGAGGCUGGAUGUAGGUCGGAUUUUUGUGUAGAGCAACUAUUCUACAAGGAUAAAGGAAUCGUUUUAUUAAAGUUUUAAGUUGUGGUGGCCUUAAGGAUACGAUGCGACAAUGCCGGUGUUCGAAUCCCGCUGACGGGUUCGAAUUUUUCUAAUGAAAUACGUACUUAACUCAUGUUCACGAAUGACAUUCAAACCCACACAAUUAAGACAUUAAUUUCAAGUCUGAAUGUGGGUGGUGGUAAGCAUGUUGUUGAUGUCCGUGGACUUCCAUAACCACGUGACACAAUACAACAUAAAAAGCAAGGUAUCUUGCAACAGACGAGACUUUGGACGACGCAAUGGAUUUUAGUUGCGAUUACAUUACGUGCUGAAGAACAUUAGACUUUAAUGCGAUCGUCGCUAGGUUCACAGUCAGGGUGCAGUACCCUCACGUGCCAAGUUCCUCUGCAGGUGCAAACACUACUUCUGCGAGAAAUGCGCUCUGGAGCAAUACAAGAAAUCGACCCGUUGUUUCAUUUGCAACGCGCAGACCGGCGGCGUGUUCAACCCUGCCAAGGAACUGGAAGCCAAACUGAAGAAGCGACUCAGCGAUGACGAUGAUGAUGAUGAUGAUGACGAUGAAUGAUUGAUAAUAAAAUAUGACUUUGAA